rnacentral:ncRNA from 1 species
UGCAACUUAGAGAGUGUUAAAAUUUGAUUGAUAUUCAGCAAUUCCCGUACAGGGAUGUAUGGGAAAGGUGGCACUUCGCCCGGAUGGCGAAUUGACACCGGUUGUGUCAUGAUGUGAAGUGGUAAUUUCAAAUUUUUACAGUCUCUUGGUUGU